rnacentral:rRNA from 1 species
GAUCAUGGCUCAGGACGAACGCUGGCGGCGUGCUUCAUACAUGCAAGUCGAACGAGAAGUCACCUUCGGGUGAUGGAAAGUGGCGGACGGGUGAGUAACACGUAGGAAAUCUGCCCUUUAGCGGGGGACAACAGUUGGAAACGACUGCUAAUACCCCAUAUGAGGUAGGCUGAAAUGCUUAUCUUGAAAACUCCGGUGCUAAAGGAUGAGCCUGCGGCUGAUUAGAUAGUUGGCGGGGUAAAGG